UAUUCACAAUGAAUCUUAUUAAUGUUUAUCGCUUUAAAGUUUUGCUCUGUUUCUUUUGUGGCUUUGCUGAACAAGAAUUUGGUUGUUAUGUCGGCUUAUCGGUUCCAGUGUUAUUUCUUCGCAUCAAUGGAGUUGUUGCCAGGCAGAACACACAUUCAAAAGUUUGCUUCUUUUUCAUUAUAUUUAGCAUAUCUUUUUGAGGAUUUCUAAGAGAUCUAUUUUUUUUGGAGGUUUGAAAUUUUGUAUUAGGAAUUUUAAUUAUAUUGAAAGAGAAUGAUGAUAUAUUUUGGCCUAUUCGACUUGAAAGUCGAUCCCGAAGUAUCCGUGUCACAUUUGUAUGUGUUACUAGCCUUAAGUAAUAUCAUCUCCUCUUAGUUUUACAUCCUUCUUGGGUUUGAGACUAGAUUGUAUGUUAACCUAUAAGAAUAAGCCUUCUGGAAUCUUUUAACUUUUGUGCUGCUUAAUUUUGACAAUUGUGAUUAAAAAGCUUGAAACUAUAUUGAAGCUGCAGUAAGUUUGACUUUUUUUUAUUUUUUAUGGUUGAUACAUUUUCUAGAUACAAAUUUGGGACUCAAACAAAUUAUGUGUUUAUUUUUCAUCUUUUUAGGUUUUUCAGUUAUCAGUAUAAAGGCCAGCAUCCUGAUCCACAAGGCUCCAUUUAGUUUUUAUUCUUUCCGACAGGCCUAUGAAGAGAGUUUAGGCCGCAUUUCCUAAUUUUUUUUGGUGGUAUGACGGUAUCGUUGUCCGAGAUUUCUAUAUUGUUCUCAACUUCCACUUAAAGGCAUCUGAUUAUGAUGUUGUUGAAUGCUAGGCCUAAAUGGAAUGAUUAUGCAUAUUGGUUCCUGCUGAAAAGGUUGUUGAUUGAUCUACUUUGAUUCCCAUCAUCAAUGCCAGCAGCUGCUGCAAUCUUUACUGCGCAAUGCACUCUCGGUGUGUCUAAUGAGUGGGAAUAAAACCUGCGAGAAGCAUAGCAGCUAUGUUAAAGAUCAACUUUAUGUUAAAGAUCAACUUUUGUAAGUAUAGUAUUGAUGAAUGUCAAUUUAUUGAGAAAUCGACAGAGAUGUUUGAUUGUGGCCCUUCUCUUUGGUAUAACAGGGAAUGCUCGAAAUUGAUGGUUUCUUUUCCAUCAGAAGGCUACUAUUGGGAAGCUUACUGAUGUGCACCGAAAGUACAACGCUUCUAAAUAUAGAUAUGCUGCUAGAUGUGAACCAACCUUUUUUCUAUUAGAAGGAUGGUUCUAUGUUAGAAUGUGAAGUGAAGAAAUUAAAGUCAUGGUGAUAAUAAGCUGCUUCAACCAUCAACCUCUAGCACUCUGCAGAUCAAUUAGUUUAGUUUCCUCAUAAUCUUAUGUAUCAGCAGGGUUUAUGCAUAUUUCAUUUUGCAUCAUGUAUGCAGCUAAACUGAACGGACUUUAAUUUUGUUGUCACCCUUCCCUUUAUAUCAUCUGAAAAAUAGAAGGUAAAUAGUUAUAUGUCAUUUGAACAGCUUAUUCUUUAGAAACAAAAGUUUUGCACGUUUCGCCAUAACAAAUUGCUUUGGUUGAUGUAAGAUGAGUAUUCUCUAUUAAUAGUCACUCUUAAUUGUGUUAGUUGCAGUGACAUCCUUUUUGUUUUCACCAUUUCCCAUUUUCUAGAAUUCAAGAACUGCUCUUAGGCAAAACCAAUGUCAUUCAUGCCACUGCAGUUAUUUUAUGUUUUGUAAGGUACUCUACCUAAACACCUGCUUGGAACAAAUAUUGAGUUUCUGUUAUAUGUUGCAUUAUGCUUUUCGAUCGUUGUAUACCAUUUUACAUGAGGAGCUUGGGUGCUCAUGGAACUCGAUAGGGAUAUCUGGAUCAGAACCUUUACUUCUUUCUUGCUAAACUAGUAAAUUACCUAAGAUAAUUCCUAUCAUCUAAACAUUAUUAGAUUAGGAUAAUAUUAUAUCAGCAAGAAUGUAGCAUAUCUGAUUACCAGUCAAUCCUGGCCCAUAUAAAUCUAUUUGAUGAUUACUUUUCUCUAUCCAUAUUAGCUUUGAAUUUAUGGUUAUUCAUUUAUAUGUAUUCUUUUUUUUUUCUUACUUCUAUUCGAUUGCAUGUUAUUGCUCCAGGUCAUAGUUCAGUUGCUAACCUCUUAAACAGGAUUCAGGUAGCACAUCUUAACAUCUAAAGCCACAUGAUUUUUGUUAUGAGCAAAGUGACAGAAGGUGUAUUUGACUUACAGAGCAUUUGAGCAACAAAUGGAACUUAGGGAGAGAGGUUUGUAGUCAGGAUAUGAGAAUAAGCAUGAUGAAUUUGUUGCUGGGGAAGUCCUAUUUCAGGAGACACCGGCCAUGAUCACGUUGAUAAGGUCUCAUUUGAUCGGCUGGCGUGUUUCUUCUCUCUGCUAUUUUAUGUCAUUUUAUCCUUUAUAAUUGACACACCAACUAUAUUCUCCACUAGCAAAAAGUGAAGGAUAAUAGACGAAGAUGAAUGAACAAAAUAAGAAGUUGCUGGCGAAUGAGAGGCAGAUAUACAAAGCUGUGUUUAGCUUGAACAAUGUAAUACUGUCCGCGAAGGAGAAUCUUUUGAUCCGAUAUCUUAGUACAAAGCGGGAAAGAUGAAUACUAUUGCCUGCCCGAAAAUUAUUGUUACUUUUUUAAUCCUUUAAUUGCUUUUUGCACUACAUGCAGAGUUAUAGAGGAUCUAUUAUACAUAUAAGAACCUUUUCCUUUUCUUUCUAA